UCAGAGGGAAGCUCACCAUUGAGGUCAUGUGCAGGGUGCUAAUCACUCACUAGUCAAUGCCUCUGUGAAGGUCUGAGAGAAAAGCCAAUUAGCUGCCCUUGCAGGGUAGCACCUGCUGCAGGUUAAUGAGUUACCACCUAUGUGGGGCCCUGGUUUAGGAUACAUAUGUGGCAGGAGAAGCCAGAGUGGUGCUCCCCUGGCAGAUGCCCAUUCACCCAAAGGGCUUUGGGGUAGGCUCAUGGCUGGCACUACUGAGCUCAAUGGGAUAAGGUGAGUCCCCAUAACCCAACUCAGACUACUCUCCCCCUGA
rnacentral:RNase_P_RNA from 2 species